AUUGAACGCUGGCGGCAUGCUUUACACAUGCAAGUCGAACGGCAGCACGGGCUUCGGCCUGGUGGCGAGUGGCGAACGGGUGAGUAAUGCAUCGGAACGUACCGUGUAAUGGGGGAUAACGUAGCGAAAGUUACGCUAAUACCGCAUACGAUCUAUGGAUGAAAGCGGGGGAUCGCAAGACCUCGCGCGAUUGGAGCGGCCGAUAUCAGAUUAGGUAGUUGGUGGGGUAAAGGCCCACCAAGCCAACGAUCUGUAGCUGGUCUGAGAGGACGACCAGCCACACUGGAACUGAGACACGGUCCAGACUCCUACGGGAGGCAGCAGUGGGGAAUUUUGGACAAUGGGCGCAAGCCUGAUCCAGCCAUGCCGCGUGAGUGAAGAAGGCCUUCGGGUUGUAAAGCUCUUUCGGCCGGGAAGAAAUCGCAUGGGUCAAUACCCUGUGUGGAUGACGGUACCGGAAUAAGAAGCACCGGCUAACUACGUG
rnacentral:rRNA from 1 species